ACCUGGUCAGUGCUUCUUAUGAGUAAACAGACACUCCCACUUCCUCUUCAGUCUUUCAGCCCAAUUUCCCUUCAUAUGCUGAAAAGACUGAAGAGGAAGUGGGGAGAUCUGUUUACUCAUGAGAAGCACAUACUGGGC